rnacentral:rRNA from 1 species
AUGAUGAGCGGCAACAACCAGCAGCAGCAGUCGGCGGCGGAGGAGGAGCAGGAGCUAGCGCGGAAGCACGCGGCAGCGGUGGCUACGUCGCGGCAAUGGUCGUCGCAGACGGAGUCACGGAUAGUGCGCGUGUCGCGCGUCUUCGGCGGCAAGGACCGCCACAGCAAGGUGAAGACCGUCAAGGGUCUCCGCGACCGGCGCGUGCGGCUGUCCGUGCAGACGGCGAUCCAGCUCUACGACCUGCAGGACCGGCUGGGCCUUAACCAGCCCAGCAAGGUCGUCGACUGGCUGCUCAACGCGGCCCGCCACGAGAUCGACAAGCUGCCGCCGCUCCAGUUCCCGCCGCACCAGGUCGACCUCAUGGACCACAUGAUGACCUCCUCCUCCAUGCCGCUCAUGCCGCACGUCGAUGACAAGUUCUGUCACUUCGCGUCCACCCUCGCCGGAGAUGGUGGCGUCAAGGCCGGGGCCGACGCAGACGGCGGUGGAGCUCACCACAACAUGGGGAGGUUCGGCUACCACCGGUUCAUGGGGCUCAACAACAACCUCGGACUGGUCAACAGCGGGAUACCAUACAAUUUCACCGGCGAGUCAUGGAAUAACAGCAGUGUGCACCAGAGCGGCGGCGCUGGCUCGGCGCAGGUCUCGAUCGCUGCCGCCGCCGCGGCUCACCACUCGGCAUUCCCAUCGUUACUCUCCUUGGCUCCAAGGUCGCAUCAGCUGGUUUACUACUCGUCCGAGGCCGAUCAGUUCCCAGUUGAUGACCUGGGCUCCCAAAGCUUAUCCUUGAGCUCGGCGAGAGCUUUCCAUGACCAGACAGGAAGCUAG